rnacentral:rRNA from 1 species
AGAGUUGAUCAGUGGCUCAGGACGAACGCUGGCGGCGUGCUUAACACAUGCAAGUCGAACGAGGGUUAUUUGGAAGCUUGCUUCCGGGUAAUCCGAGUGGCGGACGGGUGAGUAACGCGUGAACAAUCUGUCUCAUACAGGGGGAUAACGCAUCGAAAGAUGUGCUAAUACCGCAUAUGACCACGCCGGGGCAUCCCGGAGAGGUGAAAGGAGCGAUCCGGUAUGAGGUGAGUUCGCGUCUGAUUAGAUAGUUGGUGAGGUAACGGCUCACCAAGUCAACGAUCAGUAGCCGACCUGAGAGGGUGAUCGGCCACAUUGGGACUGAGACACGGCCCAGACUCC